AGUAACCACCGGGUGGCGCUGCGGCCCGUCUCUCCCGGUCCUCCGUUGCUCGGGUAACGGUCGCAUGGCGGCGCCGCCGUCUCCAGAUUUGUACAUAUGUUUGAUCUUUCAUUUAAGAAAACCGGAAUCUGGAUUGUUGGUGACAAUAGGGGAAGACACAAAAGGAAAAUAAUACAAGAACAUUACUACUGACUGAAUCCCGAUGGUGCACCUGCAGCUUGGAGGAAAUGUAGCAAUAGAUGCAAGCCAAGAGAGAAACUUGUCUGACGGAUUUCUCUACAUAUCAGAGGUAUACGAUUGAAUGGACUGGGGAAAUACCUGCCAAACAGGUACCUCCUUGUGAACUUGUACAAUCUACAUUCCUAAUUCGACAACCACCAAUGACUUUCCAGCAAAACUGUCCAAAAUAGUCACCAUUUGUAACCUACUGGAAGGAAUUGCCUCUGUUGAAAACCUGAGAGAAAUUAUACAGAGCGGAUAUCUUCCAUUGAAUAGAAUGUUUCUGAAUGAGUAAGGGAUAUUCUAAUCGUAACAGACCUUGUGUUUCCUGGUAACAUGUCCAAGGGACACACAAUAGCAAACUAACUCUUAGCAACUGCUCAGAAACUGCCGAAACAAGAAGUUGCUCGUGCUAUACUUCUCUAUGGCUUUACGUUACUCUUAAGUAAUUUUACGAUUCCUUUUUACUGACAAGAACAGUAUACAUACAGUCAUACAGCGCCACGUGCCCACAUGGUGGUUUCAGGGUCUGUUACAGAUCUCCUUUGUGGCAUCUAUUCCCUUCAUCCAUGUCCACAGGAAGAUGGCAGCUGCAGACUCCCUCUCAACCACUUUUUGUUACAAGCAGCACGGGUGAGACUUUUGGAGUUGAUCUACAUUUGCUGAUGUAUCCAACAAGAAAUAGUCAUGAUAGAACAUUUGUAAUUCCAGCUGGGCUCCCGUUUUAAAUAGCAGAGGAUAAUUAAAUAGCAUUUUUGAACUAGAAA